CGGGGCGUGGCGCAGCCUGGUAGCGCGCCUGCUUCGGGAGCAGGAGGCCGGAGGUUCGAAUCCUCUCGCCCCGACCA
rnacentral:tRNA from 1 species